GAUGAACGCUAGCUACAGGCUUAACACAUGCAAGUCGAGGGGUAACGAGAGGAAAGCUUGCUUUCCUUGUCGACGACCGGCGCACGGGUGAGUAACGCGUAUCCAACCUGCCCCCAACUAGGGAAUAACCUUGCGAAAGUAAGACUAAUACCCUAUAAUUUCCUCAGAUGUCAUCUGACGAGGAAUAAAGAUUUAUCGGUUGUGGAUGGGGAUGCGUCUGAUUAGCUUGUUGGCGGGGUAACGGCCCACCAAGGCAACGAUCAGUAGGGGUUCUGAGAGGAAGGUCCCCCACAUUGGAACUGAGACACGGUCCAAACUCCUACGGGAGGCAGCAGUGAGGAAUAUUGGUCAAUGGGCGGAAGCCUGAACCAGCCAAGUAGCGUGCAGGAUGACGGCCCUAUGGGUUGUAAACUGCUUUUGUCAGGGAAUAAACCUCUCGAUUCACUCGGGAGCUGAAGGUACCUGAAGAAUAAGCACCGGCUAACUCUGUGCCAGCCGCCGCCGUAACAC
rnacentral:rRNA from 1 species